AACGAACGCUGGCGGCAGGCUUAACACAUGCAAGUCGAGCGCCCCGCAAGGGGAGCGGCAGACGGGUGAGUAACGCGUGGGAAUCUACCCAUCUCUACGGAAUAACGCAUGGAAACGUGUGCUAAUACCGUAUACGUCCUUCGGGAGAAAGAUUUAUCGGAGAUGGAUGAGCCCGCGUUGGAUUAGCUAGUUGGUGGGGUAAAGGCCUAUCAAGGCGACGAUCCAUAGCUGGUCUGAGAGGAUGAUCAGCCACACUGGGACUGAGACACGGCCCAGACUCCUACNNNNGGCAGAAGUGGGGAAUAUUGGACAAUGGGCGCAAGCCUGAUCCAGCCAUGCCGCGUGAGUGAUGAAGGCCCUAGGGUUGUAAAGCUCUUUCACCGGNGAAGAUAAUGACGGUAACCGGAGAAGAAGCCCCGGCUAACUUCGUGCCAGCCGCCGCAGUAAUA
rnacentral:rRNA from 1 species